CUGACAGGCUGCCCUGGCUCAGUUAUCACAGUGCUGAUGCUGUCUACUCUAAAGGUACAGUACUGUGAUAACUGAAGGAUGGCAGCCAUCUUAGC
rnacentral:miRNA from 1 species